GAAGAAUAAGAAGACAGAGUUAUAGUUCAUAUUACCAAUUAGUGUUGGUACAAUAUUUUCUUAUUUUGAGAUCAUAAUCCUAGUACUAGUAGAACUAAGUCAUUAUACUAUAGUUACCUAUAUUAUCUAGGCAUUUUAUAAGGGCUUGCUAUAAUUGUUAUUUACAAUAGAGAAUUAAUAAGAAUUUUGUCAAUUUUAUUCAUUCGGCUUUGAUUGUUCUAUUGGUUCUAC
rnacentral:misc_RNA from 1 species